rnacentral:rRNA from 1 species
CGGUCAAGUUACGAAGGGUGUGCGGUGGAUGCCUUGGCGCCCAGAGGCGAUGAAGGACGUGGCUAGCUGCGAUAAGCCCCGGGGAGCUGCUGCUUGCUGUGAUCCGGGGAUUUCCGAAUGGGGCAACCCAGCCGAGGCAAUGCUCGGCUAUCCGCAUCUGAAUUCAUAGGGUGCGGAGGCGAACGCAGGGAACUGACACAUCUCAGUACCUGCAGGAGAAGAAAGAAAACCUCGACUCCCUCAGUAGCGGCGAGCGAAAGGGGACGAGCCUAAACCGGGCGCGUGCCAAGCCCUGUGCGUUGCGCGUCCGGGGUUGCGGGGAUCGUCUUCGCAGGGGAACAGGACCCUGCGGCAGAGUUACAAAAGCUCCUCCUAGUCGAAGCACUUGGAAAGGUGCCCCACAGAGGGUGAUAGGCCCGUAGGCGAAAGGAGAGGGCUCUUUGCGGACGAUUUCCCAAGUAGGGUCGGACACGUGGAACCCGGCCUGAACCCGGGAGGCCCACCUCCCAAGGCUAAGUACUUCUGGGCGACCGAUAGCGCAAAAGUAGCGCGAGCGAAAGGUGAAAAGCAAGCCUGUUAGGCGAAGGUGAAAUAGAACCUGAAACCGCACAUCUACAAGCGGUCGAAGCACCAUUUGUCCCCGCCUGCGGCGGCUCGUCUUGCCCUUCGGGGCGGGGCGUCUGCCGCGGCCGCCCUUCGGGGCGGAGGGUUGAUGAGGUGCGACGGCGUGCCUUUUGGUUAAUGAGCCGGCGAGUUGCUUCGUGUUGCUUGGUUAAGCCCCUCAGGGGCGGAGCCACAGCGAAAGCGAGUGUUCAAAGCGCGAUACGGUAGCACGGAGCAGACCCGAAAGCGUGUGAGCUAUCCAUGGCCAGGAUGAAGCGGGCGUAAAAGUCCGUGGAGGUCCGAACCCGUCCGGGUUGCAAACCAGUGGGAUGAGCUGUGGAUAGGAGUAAAAGGCUUAUCAAACACGCAAAUAUCUGGUUCUCCCCGAAACAUAUUUUGGUAUGGGCUCGGGCAACUACGUCGCGGGGGUAGAGCACUGAAUGAGUCUGCGGGGCCGCAAGCCUACGCGACUCAACCAAACUCCGAAUACCGCGGCGACUAUCCCGGGGCUCGGACUACGGGGGAUAAACUUCGUGGUCAAGAGGGAAACAGCCCAGACCGCCAGCUAAGGUCCUCGAAUCCGCGCUAAGUGCAAAAGGAAGUGAGAGUGCUCAGACAGCUGGGAUGUUGGCUUAGAAGCAGCCAUCAUUUAAAAAGUGCGUAAUAGCUUACCAGUCGACGCACUCUUGCGCCGAUAAUUCUCGGGACUCAAGCGCGGUACCGAAGCUGCGGGCCCGCCGCAAGGCGGGCGGUAGGGGAGCUUUCCACUCAGGGUUGAAGCGGUACUGAAAAGAGCCGUGGACCGAGUGGAAGUGAGUAUGCCGGCACGAGUAGCGCCAAAGCGGGCUAGAAUCCCGCUCGCCGUAAGCCUAAGGUUUCCUGUCCCAUGUAAGUCAGGGCAGGGUUAGCCGGUCCCUAAGCCGAGGCCGAAAGGCGUAGGUGAUGGACAGAAGGUGAAUAUUCCUUCGCCACCUGCACGUACCGAUGGGGGACGCGACCAGCUAGGCCGCGGUCUCGUCUAGCACACGGCCGUUAAGCCUCAAUAGGGGGUCCGCAGGCAAAUCCGCGGGCCACAUACCCGAAGGAGGUGCGAAGGCUUUUGCAUGAUAAGAGGCCAACGCGGGUCGCCGAGAAAAUCCUCUAGGUGCCCGAAAGGGCGAACGUGCGGAGUGACCGUACCGCAAACCAACACAGGUAGGUGAGGAGAGAAUCCUCAGGCGCGCGAGAGAACCCCCUUUAAGGAACUCGGCAAAAUAGCCCCGUAACUUCGGGAGAAGGGGCGCCUCUGCGGGUGAACCGGACCACGGGGAGCCUGUGGAGGCCGCAGCAAACCGGGCCACGCGACUGUUUACUAAAAACACAGCUCUCUGCCAAGUCAAACGACGACGUAUAGAGAGUGACACGUGCUCGAUGCCGGUAAGUCAAGGGAAAGGGUUAGCCCCUUCGGGGGCGACGCUCUGAACCGAAGCUCCGGUGAAUGGCGGCUCUAACUAUGAGAGUCCUAAGGUAGCGAAAUUCCUUGGCGGGUAAGUUCCGUCCUGCACGAAUCGUGUAACGACGUGGCCGCUGUCUCAAAGGGGGGCUCGGCGAAACUGUAGCAGCGGUGAAGAUGCCGCUUUCCCGCAUCAAGACGGAAAGACCCCGUGAACCUUUACUGUAGCCUAGCAUUGGGUCUUGUUCUAACAUGUGUAGUCUAGGUGGGAGGCGUUGAAGCCGGGACGCUAGUCCUGGUGGAGCCGCAAUAUGAAAAACCACCCUUGUUAUCACAGGACUCUAACCCUACGCCGUCAGCCGGCGACGGGACAGUGUUAGGUGGGCAGUUUAGCUGGGGCGGUUUCCUCCCAAAGCGUAACGGAGGAGCACAAAGGUUCCCUCAGCACGGUUGGCAAUCGUGCGGCGAGUGUAAGGGCACAAGGGAGCUUGACUGCGAGACACACAAGUCGAGCAGAUGCGAAAGCAGGUCCUAGUGAUCCGGCGGUCCCGUGUGGAAGGGCCGUCGCUCAACGGAUAAAAGGUACUCCGGGGAUAACAGGCUGAUCGCGCCCGAGCGUCCAUAGCGGCGGCGCGGUUUGGCACCUCGAUGUCGGCUCAUCGCAUCCUGGGGCUGUAGGAGGUCCCAAGGGUUCGGCUGUUCGCCGAUUAAAGCGGUACGUGAGCUGGGUUUAGACCGUCGUGAGACAGGUCGGUCCCUAUCUGAUGUGGGCGUAGGAUACUUGAGGGGUACGGCCGAUAGUACGAGAGGACUUCGGUCGCUCGACCUCUGGUGUACCGGUUGUCCUGCUAAGGGCAGCGCCGGGUAGCUACGUCGAGAGGGGAUAACUGCUGAAAGCAUCUAAGCGGGAAGCCCUCCCCAAGACGCGAGGUAUCCCUGAGCCGUCGAAAGGCGGCUCUGAAGGCACCAGGCAGACCACCUGGUCGAUAGGCCGGUUGUGUACGGGCAGCGAUGCCUUCAGCUAACCGGUACUAAUCCGCCAACCGACUUGACCG